AGUGCGCUAUGCUGAGCGGGCAUCUACACUAAGGCCACCAUCAAUAUGGUGACUCCUGAGGAACUGGGGGACACCAGGUUGACUAAGGAGGGGUGAACCGGCCCAGGUUGGAGACAGAGCAGGUCAAAGCUCCCAUGGUAGUAGCAGGAUCGUGUCUGUGAAUAGCCACU
rnacentral:SRP_RNA from 1 species